rnacentral:rRNA from 1 species
CGCGUAGGUCGUUUGGUAAGUUGGAAGUGAAAGCCCCGGGCUCAACCUGGGAAUUGCUUUCAAAACUGCCUGACUAGAGUACGGUAGAGGGUGGUGGAAUUUCCUGUGUAGCGGUGAAAUGCGUAGAUAUAGGAAGGAACAUCAGUGGCGAAGGCGACCACCUGGACUGAUACUGACACUGAGGUGCGAAAGCGUGGGGAGCAAACAG